AUUCUGGUUGAUCCUGCCAGUAGUUAUAUGCUUGUCUCAAAGAUUAAGCCAUGCAUGUCUAAGUACACACGAAUUAAAAGUGAAACCGCAAAAGGCUCAUUAUAUCAGUUAUGGUUCCUUAGAUCGUUAACAGUUACUUGGAUAACUGUGGUAAUUCUAGAGCUAAUACAUGCAAUUAAAACAUGAACCUUAUGGGACAUGUGCUUUUAUUAGGCUAAAACCAAGCGAUCGCAAGAUCGUUAUAUUGGUUGAACUCUAGAUAACAUGCAGAUCGUAUGGUCUUGUACCGACGACAGAUCUUUCAAAUGUCUGCCCUAUCAACUUUUGAUGGUAGUAUCUAGGACUACCAUGGUUGCAACGGGUAACGGGGAAUCAGGGUUCGAUUCCGGAGAGGGAGCCUGAGAAACGGCUACCACAUCUAAGGAAGGCAGCAGGCGCGUAAAUUACCCACUCCCAGCUCGGGGAGGUAGUGACGAAAAAUAACAAUACAGGACUCAUAUCCGAGGCCCUGUAAUUGGAAUGAGUACACUUUAAAUCCUUUAACAAGGACCAAUUGGAGGGCAAGUCUGGUGCCAGCAGCCGCGGUAAUUCCAGCUCCAAUAGCGUAUAUUAAAGUUGUUGCGGUUAAAACGUUCGUAGUUGAACUUGUGCUUCAUACGGGUAGUACAACUUACAAUUGUGGUUAGUACUAUACCUUUAUGUAUGUAAGCGUAUUACCGGUGGAGUUCUUAUAUGUGAUUAAAUACUUGUAUUUUUUCAUAUGUUCCUCCUAUUUAAAAACCUGCACUAGUGCUCUUAAACGAGUGUUAUUGUGGGCCGGUACUAUUACUUUGAACAAAUUAGAGUGCUUAAAGCAGGCUUCAAAUG
rnacentral:ncRNA from 1 species